rnacentral:rRNA from 1 species
UACGUAGGUGGCAAGCGUUAUCCGGAAUUACUGGGCGUAAAGCGUGCGCAGGCGGUUGGGCAAGACAGAUGUGAAAUCCCCGGGCUCAACCUGGGAACUGCAUUUGUGACUGCACGGCUAGAGUGCGGCAGAGGGAGAUGGAAUUCCGCGUGUAGCAGUGAAAUGCGUAGAUAUGCGGAGGAACACCGAUGGCGAAGGCAAUCUCCUGGGCCUGCACUGACGCUCAUGCACGAAAGCGUGGGGAGCAAACAGG